UACGUAGGUGGCAAGCGUUGUCCGGAUUUACUGGGCGUAAAGGAUGCGUAGGCGGACAUUUAAGUCAGAUGUGAAAUACCCGAGCUUAACUUGGGUGCUGCAUUUGAAACUGGGUGUCUAGAGUGCAGGAGAGGUAAGUGGAAUUCCUAGUGUAGCGGUGAAAUGCGUAGAUAUCGGAAGGAACAUCAGUGGCGAAAGCGGCUUCCUGGACCAGCACCGACGUUCAGGCACGAAAGCGUGGGGAGCAAACAGG
rnacentral:rRNA from 1 species